GUGACAGCACCCGCCGCAGCUGCUGCUGAUUCUGAGCCCGCGUGAAGAACACGUACUCACGAUGGGGAUUGCCUACACCGUAAGGUCAAAACGACGACGACAAAGAACUCGCAUCGAGCCUAAGUCCCACUGUACAGUGAAGACGCGUCGCCGUGGAAACGUGACGUCAAUCAAGCGGCAUCAAGCUCUCGUGGCCUCCUAUCGUGGCAUCUAGCUCUCGCGGCCUGGUCAACUUGAAUAAAGUUGAUUUCCUUCCUU